AAAAAAGCAUUGAUGGAGAAAAAGAUAUCCUAACUUAAUUACAGAGAGUUGGAUUAGGUGAAAACCAACAUUAAGGGGAUAUGUAAUAUUCACUCCUGAGCUGAUUCGUUAAAAGUCUAAUCGAGUAGACGAAUCCGAAAGCCCAUCGUUACAGGGGAUAGGACUGUUAGGUCUGAAUGAGCGAUGACUUUUGUCAUAAUAAGGGUGGUACCGCGGAUAAUAAUCUUUCGUCCCUAUA
rnacentral:ncRNA from 2 species